rnacentral:sRNA from 1 species
UUUUAUAUCUCAUCAAACUUGCAGGCUUCUUCUUUAGCAAAGUUGGCUUUAUCAGCAAGGGAUCCUGGUGAAUUGGUUUUUCCUUUUGGUCCUGACUAUUUGGAGGUAUGAAGUUAUCCAUAUAUUAAUUUGGGUUAUGGCGCAUUUAUUGUGUAAUUUAUAGAAGCACCACCAAUUUUACCAGUAAUUGAUUGACUCGUCAUUUUACAAAUUUGAAACCAACUGAUCUAAGUCUUCAUUAAGUUCCAUUUCAUGUAAAAUUCUACUUUAACAGGUGCUGUGAUCAAUCUCAUGUUAUCUUUUCAAUAAUGGUGUAUCUGUAUUUAAGCCCACUACACACUACCUUUUCAAAUAGUAUGGAUUCAGUGUGCUGUACUGAUAGAGAUAUUAAGAUACUUGUGAUCAUAUUUAUGUAACACCCACCACACAGCUGCAAGAGCAUCCAGCCAUCCACCUGACUAAAUCACCACCACGACCACCACCACCCCCAAGCCAAUCCAGUCGGGGAUGGUUGAUACGCGAUUGGUCGCGCGCCGGCACACCCGCGCGACCAGCGCUACCCAUCUAGUCUCAGUAUUUAUACGUUUGUAUAUAUACCACAAUACAAAGUUUAUACGCAUGUAUAUGAGGUAUAUAUACAUACGUAUAUAGACGAUAAAAUAUGUGUAAACUUUGUAUAUAUACCCUACAUUUUUUAUAUGUAUACGCAUACACUUUUGAUGUAUAAAAAAUAUGUAUACAUGUAUACAAAGUUUGUAUACAACGUAUACAAAAUAUACAAACUUUGUAUACAUACGUAUACAAAGUUUAUAUACGUAUGUAUAAAAAAGGAAAAAAUAUACAUGUAUACAAACUUAGUAUAUGUGUAUACAUAGUUUGUAUAACAAACCGAAAAAAAAAACCCGAAAAAGUGAAAAAGAAACAGAAAAAAAAGGAAAGAAACAG